GUGGGGAAUAUUGGGCAAUGGGCGCAAGCCUGACCCAGCAACGCCGCGUGAAGGAAGAAGGCUUUCGGGUUGUAAACUUCUUUUACCAGGGACGAAACAAAUGACGGUACCUGGUGAAUAAGCCACGGCUAACUACGUGCCAGCAGCCGCGGUAAUACGUAGGUGGCGAGCGUUAUCCGGAUUUAUUGGGUGUAAAGGGCGUGUAGGCGGGACAGCAAGUCAGAUGUGAAAACCAGAGGCUCAACCUCUGGCCUGCAUUUGAAACUGUUGUUCUUGAGUGUCGGAGAGGUAAUCGGAAUUCCGUGUGUAGCGGUGAAAUGCGUAGAUAUUAGGAGGAACACCAGUGGCGAAGGCGGCUUUCUGGACUGUAACUGACGCUGAGGCACGAAAGCGUGGGGAGCAAACAGGAUUAGAUACCCUAGUAGUCC
rnacentral:rRNA from 1 species